rnacentral:rRNA from 1 species
AUUGAACGCUGGCGGCAGGCCUAACACAUGCAAGUAGAACGCAGUUGCGAACGGGUGAGUAACGCGUAGGUAACUGCCUCAUAGCGGGGGAUAACUAUUGGAAACGAUAGCUAAUACCGCAUACUGUGAGAUGGACCUGCGUUGUAUUAGCAAGUUGGUGAGGUAAAGGCUCACCAAGGCGACGAUACAUAGCCGACCUGAGAGGGUGGUCGGCCCCAGUGGGACUGGGAAACCGGCCGGACUCCGACUGGAGGGCGGAGCAGGGAAUCUUUGGAAAAGGGCGGAAGGCUGACUGAGCAACGCCGGCGGGUUGAAGAAGGUUUUCGGGCGUGAAAGCUGUGUUGUUAGAGAAGCGGUACCUGACGAGAAAGCGACGGCUAACUACGUGCCAGCAGCCGCGGUAAUAC